UUCAAAUGAGAGCAUCGAAUUUCACUCCAUUGAUGAAUGGAUAAUCGGUUAAAUAGAUAAGUAAUAUUUUGCAUUGAUCAGAUAGUAUUAACGAUCACUUAUUUAAUUAACUCAAUAAGAUAAUAUCGAAUGAUUUUUCAAAGCCAAUAGCAGUUAAUAACUUUAUAAUCAAAAUAUAUCUUUCUCAAGCUUUCGGUUUUUACUUUUACUUUUUGCUUUUUCUCAAACACUUAAACCUGCAGUCAGGCCAGAAAGCUGGAAACUCCAAUCCGAUUGAAACAGUAUGAGGGAUCAUCAGAUUGUGAAAGGAGAGGAGUUUGAGAGAAAAGCUGAGAAGAAGAUUAGUUGUUGGGGUUUAUUUUGUUCUAAGCAUGAGGAUGCUGCUGAUCUUUAUCAAAAAGCCGCCACUUCCUUUAAACUCGCCAAAUCAUGUGAGCCCUUCGAUUUAUUGUUUGAAAAUUUCAACCUUUAUUGAGCAUCGGGUUUGUUUUAAAAUGUUAACUUUAUUAAGAGGACUGGCUCAUAUUUUAGCUAUUGGAUUUCGACUAAUCAAAAGCUAUAAAAGGAUCCAAUUGCUCGUUUUAGAUUUUGGGCUCAGAUACUGAGUCAUUGUUUUCAAUGUAAAAUGGCAAUAUUGGAGGAAUAAGUUAAAGUCCUAUAUUUUGGUUAGUGUUUUUAUCUUUAACAGACUUGGGAUUUUACUUUAACAAGCUUUAUCUUCUGUUGAUGUAAGGAAUUAUGAUAUUUUGUUUUAUUAUGAAUGACUUUGUUCCAUAAUUGAAUCUGAACAGUGUUAGUAGGGAGAUUGCGAUUCUUGGUUCUAUUCUUUUUCCUAGUGUUAUUAAGUGCCUUUGCUUUGUGAAGAGUAUUUGAUCAUCUGGAUUAGUAAUAUAGAAUGCUUAGGCUAUUACUUGGCUUAUGGGACCCUCGGAAUGGAGUUUUAGGCAGAAAUUUGCGGAGGCAUGAUUCUUUAAAACUCAGUUUCAUCCACACAUUCUCUCAUUAAAAUAAUUCUGAGCAUAAAUCCAUAACUUUUCCUACUUUUUAACCAACAUUCUCCAAAAAUACGACUUUUCACCAUAACCAUUCUCAGAAAAACUACAAUAAACAGGCCCUAAGCAAAGAACUUGUCUUUUUAUUUACUUUUUUUCGUUUUUCGAAGGGUGAAAGUGUAUGAUUCUGUAGUAAGCAUGAACUAUAGAUUAACUUGAUUAGAAAUUGGAAUUAUAGUGAUUGCUAGUUAUGGUGAAAUUCUGUUUAGAUUCUUAGGAUGCUAAUAUACUAUUUUGGUGUUUCCCAGGGGAUAGAGCUGCAAUGGUCAAUAUUAAAUUGGCUAACUGUAAUUUGAAGGUCGGUGAUUUGGCAUUUUUAUGGCUGUAAUAGAAUUGUGCAUGUGAUAGCAAUAACUCAUAACCUUUUGCAGUUGGGUAUCAAGCAUGAAGCAGCGCGUGCUUAUAUUGAUGCUGCGAAUUGUUACAAGAAAACGUCCCCUAAAAGUGUGUAUUAUCUUCAUUUGAUUAUGAUGAUUAUAGUUAUUAAGUUUAGUACCAAAAGUAUUGAGAAGUGAUUUGGAAAAUGUUGUUUAUAUCUGCUUAGAAGUUGCGAAUGAAGUAUAUUGUUUUUGUUGGGGGUUUGCAGAGGCUUUAUCAUGUUUAGAUCAGGCUGUGAAUAUGUUCUUGGAAAUCAGCAGACUCAACAUGGCUGCACGUUAUUGCAAGGUACAUUCCACAUGCUAUUGUAUUAUUCUUCUUCCAAAAUUGAAAUAGAAGUAGGCAGGGUAAUAUUUGACAUUGCUUCCAGACUCGCAUAAGAAACAAGUAGAUAAAAUUGCGACCAAUACAAGAAGCAUUAUUAAGGAAGACAUAUUUCUAAGUUACCUUACACGUAGAAAGAAAGACAUAAUUAUAUAUUUCGAACAUAAGGUUUAUUAAAUCAUUAAAGUUUUCUGCUUACCAAUCUCCAAUUAUUUCCUCAUCUUUAAAUUACCGUUUCCUUCAUGCCAAGAAUUUUUUAGCAAAUGAUUUUUAAGCUUUUGUGUAGAACGUGUAUAAAAUCUUCUAAUUAUGGGAUGAUCCCUAACUAUGGGAAGUUGUCAACUUUCCUUGAUUCUUUAGGAGAUUUUAUCUUUCUACCAUAUUGGGUCUUGUUAUCUUUUUUGUAAACCAACUAUGUCGUGUGUAUAUGUGGGCAAAUUGUAAAUUUUAAUAUAUGAAAAAGAAGGGUUUCUUCUUCCUACAAUUUUGUCAUACAAUAGCAUAUAGUAUCAAAGCCCACUAGCUUCAAACAAUUCCGAUCAAAAUAAGACUCAAAUGAGCAUAAGGAUUCCAAAAUUAAUUUUUUCAAAGGAGAAUCAUCUUGCUAGAGCAUGUUAAAGAUAAAUGCCACGUCGGAUAAAUAUAAGAACAUUGACAAACGUAUUAAGGUUUGGGCUAUUUUUUUUUAACAAAGUUGACCUUUAAGAUAGAAGUCCAAGUCUUAGUAAUAAACCUUUAAACCUGUACUUGACUUGAGUUUAAUGCUUAUCUAGGAGAUUGGCGAAUUAUAUGAGCAGCAAAAGAACUUUGACCAAGCACUUUUGUAUUUCGAGUGGUCUGCGGACCUAUUUCAGGCUGUGGAAGCAACAACAUCUACAUAUCAGUGCAGGUUGAAAGUCGCACAAUUUUAUGCUCAGUCAGGGAAGUAAGUGAUCUCAACUGAUUCUAUGUCACUCUAUUUUUAUUUAUUUAUUUAUUUUCCCAAAACUUUGAAUUUAAGCUUACUACUUUCCAUUUAUUGGAUUGAACAAAUUGGGAAAGAUAAAUUACAUGUUCUUUGUGAAGUUAUGCCUCUAAUAGAAAUGAAAUAUGUAAACAUAAUGAGCAGGAUGUGGCAAUUGGUAAUAGUUGUGCUAACCGAACUCUAGGCGAUUUGAAUUCGUAAGCAUGCUUGAGAGUGCUUUUUAGUAAUAAUAAAUUGUGUGUCCUACAAAAUAUGUAGAUAAAAAUGGCCAGUAAUUGUGGUCGUACGAAAUGUGUAAAUAAAAAGCAUGUAAGGCAACUUAAAUUAUAGUAUUGCCAAACUUGCACCAUAUCUAUGUGGAAUAAGCAAAUACCUUUUGUAUUCAGAUAUCCUCAGGCAAUCGAAAUAUAUGAAGAGAUAGCACGUCACUCCCUAAACAACAAUUUAUUGAAGUAUGGAGUUAGAGGGCAUCUUCUUAAUGCUGGAAUUUGCCAACUUUGUAAAGGAGAAAUUGUUGCGAUAACCAAUGCACUGGAAAAAUAUCAGGUAUACAUUCUUCUUUUAUCUAGACCAUUAAGUUAUUUCUCCCUGUAGUAAUACUGGGAAUCAACAAUUUUCCAUUGCUCGUGUAGGACAUGGAUCCUACUUUCUCAAGGACUCGGGAGUACAAACUCUUAGUUGUAAGUUUUCAUUUAAUGUUGGUUUGAUGCAUCAAUUUUUAAAGAUGUCAUAGGGCUGCUGUUUUUUUUCACGGACUGGUGCUUUAUAUACUCAAUUUUUAGAAUAAUGGUAUCUAGACAAUCAGUCUAAGUGGUACUAUGUGAUGUGUUCAAUUAAAUGUGGAAUUAUGUGACACAGUUAAUUUGGCCUCUCAUUUAAUGUCACUUAGUACCAUUUAGACUGGUAUUAACAUGUGCUAUAUAGCAUAACUCUAGUUUUUAUCUUCGAUGCUAUAAAGUUAUAAACCUUGCUAAUGUGAUUAGAGUUCUUUUCUUUUCUUUUUUCUUUUUUUGCUUGUUAGGAUUUGGCUGCUGCAGUUGACGAGGAAGAUGCUGCAAAAUUCACAGCUGCUGUAAAGGAGUUUGAUACCAUAACCCGGCUGGUAAAUUAUUAUUUGAUUUAAUCUUAUUAUUUUUCUAGUAAUUCCUUACUCCGAUGUGAAAGAUUAUGCCUCUCUCUGAAAAGAUCUCAACCACAAAACCAAAUUAAUGAAAUCUAUUGCACAUCUUAUGUAGGCAUCAAAAAAUAAGAUCUUGAAUCUUAAAUUAAUCUCCAACUAAUGCAGGAGCAUGGUUGAAACGGGGGUUGGACACAAGGAAGUGGACUUGGAAUAGAUUCCUGAACUUGAUUCUAGGUGAUAUAAGAUGGAUUGCAUUAGUGCCAUGAGCUAUAGCUUUUGGAAAGAGUGGUGGCAAUACCUUAUGUCACAAACACAAUAAAAUAGAGAAAAAAGAACCCGAAUCAAAGAAAUAGGAGUGAUGUUUAUAAAAAGUCUGAAAGCGAACUUUUUAUUUUUAUUAUAUUUCGUAAAAGUAACUUGUGUAUUUUCGACUGUAAACUUGUAGCUCAUGUUGUUUCCUAUUUCUAAAUGCCACAAUACUCAUUUCCUAGUCGCUUCCAGGAAACUUGGAGGACCACUCUUCUGUUGCGAGUGAAGGAAACUCUAAAAGCUAAAGAACUUGAAGAGGAUGAUCUGACCUGACUGGAUAUAACUACUGAAACUUUCUCCUCUUUACCAUACAAAAUAACAUAUGGUCGUCAUCAUUGUUAUUAUUACCGUUAUUUUUGGGAUUUAUGGAGUUCCCUGUUUGUGAAUAACUUUGAUUCAGUCCAUGGACUUUUUGAAAUAUGUAUAUUACUUGAUUUACUUGAUUUUCAUUUUAUCAUUGUAGUUCUUUCCUAUUAAAUUUGGGAGAUAUGAUAGAUAAAGUAUUUAUAUAAUUUUAUAUCCAGUGUCUGGAUGUUUGAUUUAUUAUUAAAUUAACCAAAAAAUGACGUUAUCAUUUUUUUUUUUUUUCCAAUUUUCUUUAUCAAUUUGUUAUUACAUAACGCAUGGUUGUUUUAGCUUCAUUAUGCUCUUCAUUACAUAUUCAAUUAUCAAUUUGAAAAGAAUGGUGCUAAUUUAUGUGGUGCUUUAAGAACUAUAACAUUUUUUGGAUGUUGAUAUUACUUUUAUGCUUUCAGCAGCCCACCUCGGAUUCACUUGAUGCAACAUCUCUGUUUCAUACUUUAUGCUUAGCAUUAAAUUACCUUCUCAUCAAAAUUUUAGCCUCAUAAGUUGAUGUGGUUGCCUUUUAGUGUUGUUGGUUACAGCUUGAUGUAAUACCUUGUGCUUGCCUCUACAAAUGGUAAUCAUCCUGUCUGCAUUCUAACAAGACAGAAUUGGGAGCGAGAUCCAGGAUUGUUUAGUCACUACCGUAAGUAUAAAUCAUAUCAUGCUUUAUCUACUUACCAUUGAGCUCAAAUAUUCUUGUGCUCCGCUCCCAAAUUGCACCCUGGUCAAUUCCAAAUUUCUUGAAUCUUUUAGGAAUUGGAUAUAUUAGUGCAAUAAAAUAUAAGUAGUUUUUCCAUGCAGCAUAUAUGCAUAAUCUGAUCGUGCUCACUUUUUGUGGGUAUGUCGAUUGUUGCACAAUAUUUGUUAUGAUAUUCAAGCUCUACUUACUGUUCUAAUUUUUCCUUACCUUUUUUGUAAUGAAUGGAAUAGCAAGAUUUUUAGUACAGCUUUCUCCAUUGUUAACCAUGGUCUUCGAAUUAGGCUACAUAUUGUGAUUGUUGUAGUUCAAAGGAGAAAUCAGAAACUAGGGUCAAUUGUGUGGUCUAGUUGAUGUAACAAUCCGACCUCUGUACCCAAGCCAUUAUGUCAUACGUACUUCUCAUUAUGGGAGAGCCUAGCCUAUCUUACCUCUCGAAAAUUUCUAUCGUGUUCUCAAUAUUCGAAUCUAAGACUUCUGCUUUAUGAGAAACUUAAGUUGAAUCCUCGUACCAAUUAAGAAACUGUUGAAUCCUAACGCCAAUGGGCACAUUUUUUGUGACGAUCGUAUCCGUGCUCAAGCCGUUAUAUCCUACGUGUUGUCCGUUAUGGGAGAACCUAGCCUAGCUUACCUUUCAUGGAUUUCUAUAGCGUUCCCAAGAUUCGAACCUAAAACCUCUAUUUUAUGAGAGACUUAAAUUGAUUUCUGGGAAUGCGAUAAAAAUCCAUGAAGGGUGAGAUGGACUAGACUCUCCCAUAGCUGACAAUACAUUUAAUAUAAUUGGAUGGGCACAGAGAUCGAGUCAUUAUAAAAAAUGCGCACAAGUGAUACCUGGAUUCAGUUAAAAUCUAUUUUAAGACAGGGAUCAUGGGUUCAAACACUGGGGACGCAAUAUAAAUCUGUGAGGGGUAAGAUGUGCUUAGGUUCUUCUAUAGCGAACUGUAUGUAAGUUAACUAUUUGGGUAUAGAGGUCAGGUCAUUACAAUUGAACUAUGCACAUUGAUGUAAUAGAACAUCUUUAUCAUGUAAAUACCUAUUUCGUGAUUUUUUUCAUCUCAAAUGGCUAAAGAGUAAGGUCAGUUAGGGCACCAAUGUAGAGGAUUCUCUUAUUUAACACGCUGAGAUUAAAUAAUCAUAUUUAGAGGUAUGAUGUAAUAUGUCCUCUUUGGAUACUCCUCAAUCCAUUAAACAUAUGAUCAUCUUAUGAUACUUGGUUAUGGCACACUAUCAUGUUACCUUUACUUUUGUCCAACAAAAUGGUCUUUCUUUGUACAUAGUUACUUGGUUGUCCUUAGACAUACUGAUGCAGCAACAAUAGGAAUACCCAAUGGAGAAUGAGAAAACCAAUCAACAGAAUAAAGAAAUAACGGGAAGAGAUGACAUAAUAAGAAAACAAUAGAAGAGGGAGAAGAAUAAUGGAAGAAGAGAAGGAAAAUUGCUACAAGCUACCAAUCAAUUUUAUUCAAUCGUCAAUUAAAUGAAAUUAUAUGGCAAAUUAAGUUUAAAUAAUAAAAACAAAACCCUAACUAGGAUGGGCUUAGGUCAAUACAAGCCCAAUUAUAUAAAUAAGAGACAAAAAAAAGUCCAACUAGAAAUAAAUAAAAAUAGAUGUUUUCGUCAACUCUCUCGGGGUGGGAGAAAAUUCGACCUUGUCGAGUUGAUAGAUCACUAUAUGCAACCCCUUUCUUUCUACACUUUUCUUUGUUUCUUGUGAGCUAACAGGUUUUGGAGGUAACAAAUUAAGAUGAAUCUUCUUUCUAUUAAACACAAAGGAGAAAGGAUUAGAUUGACCAUAGAUGGUGACAUCUAGAUCAAACAACCAAUAUCGCCCCAGGAUGAUGUGCCCAUAAUCUAUUGAAAUGACGUCACACUAUAUAUGACCUUUAUAUUUGAGGAACUAGAUAGGGACUAGAAAACGCUCUUUGACUCUAUACGGCUAAGGAUGAAGAACUGGUUUCAACCCAAGAUGGAAAACAGUAGCCAUUGAAACCACUUAAUGCAGCUACCAUUAUCCACAAUAAUUUUACAGCCCUUAUUAUUGAUCUUGAUAUAAGUGUGAAAGAUAGCAUGACGACAUCAAUCAUUGGCAUCCUUGGGUUAGGUAAGGGUACAAUGUACGACACCGACUCUAGGCGUGUUAGGAGUAAGGGGACUAGUCUGAAUAUAACCUAAGAAAGUUUCUUCACUAUCCUCUAAGUCAUCAAACUCUUCCAUCUUAAGUUCAUAAACUUGGUCCUCUAAUCGUUCGUCUACUAUACCCUCACGUUCUUCCAUAACUAGGGCUCGACUAGGAUACUUAAAAGAAAUGUAAUCAAAACCUUUACAGUUGAAGCAUUGCAAACAGGAAGAUGCCCUUGAAACCUUCAGGACAUUUACCUUUACUAUCCGAUACAGGGGUAGCAUUAGAAGGGGAAGGCCCUAGAAUAGGCUUAGGAAAAGGAGUGGAUGCAGAAGAGGUGGCAGUGUGGAUGUCACUACGAGUUCUAUACGGUGUCCUAGUCACUAACUCCUAAUCUUGAACGAAGGAGUAGGCGUGGUCAUGAGUGGUGAUGCUUUGAAGGACCAGCUCGCGCCUAAGAUCAUCCUUAGACCUUGCCUAGACCUACUCAAGGUCAUGAUCUCAUCCUCAACGACCUGACAUCUCAUUCGAAAUUCAUCAAACUGAGUGACGUACUCAGUCACAGAUCGAUUGCCUGGCAUAAGGGCAUUCCAUUGAUCCAACAAGUUACCCCUGUAAGAUUGGGGUAAGUACUUAACUAAAAGGCGGCGCUUCAUUUCAUCCCAACUCCCAACAGGGGGAGCAUGACGUCUUUCUAGCAAAUUCUCAACACUUUUCCAAAAGAGUUCAGCAGUGCCAAUUAAUUUUAGACUGGCAAAUUGAACUCUUCGGUCUUUCGGGACUAUGUGUGGCUGUUGACUAUGAUUUACGAAUGGAGUGUUGAGUGGUGUACUAGCCGUGAUUGUUGAGUGGCGGUGUAUAGAGGAAAUCGAGAUGGUGGUUGGUUGCAGUAAGGAUGCGCCAGUGAUUCCGACAGUGCAGGAGUGGCAUCGGCGGGAGUAGUGGCAGGUUGGGUGCUAGCGGGAAGUGGCGGUGCCGAUGUCGUAGAGAAUUCGGCUUAUGGGAUAUUAACAGGGUGGAAGAUAGACACGAGUUGGAAUUGGGUUAUCGAAGAUGGGUUGUGGAAGGAUAAUGGGCUUGGUUGGGUAUUGUAUAUAAUGGGCUAGGGUUUGCUGUUGUGAUGGUUAGGGUUUGAGUUAUUGGGCUAAUGUGUUGGGCUUCGUGGACAUGGGUUAAUUAGAGAAUUGCUAGACUGAAUAGAAUUUGAGUUGAAUUAAGAUUGUAGGGCUUGGAUUAGGAUGUUAUCUAGAUAAGAGGAUUGACAUUGGAAAAAAGCAUUUUACGAAAUUUUAGGAGUACCGUAGAAAAAAAUGACUCUUGAUGAUAAAGAAUUUUUUUUCCCACUCAUUUUUUUCCUCGGGUGUGAACAGUAAUUUUUAUUUAUUUAUUUAUUUAUUUAUUUUACUAAGAAAGAAAACUGGAAAAAAAAAAUUGAAAACUGCUGCUCUUACUAGAAAUUGUUUCAUUUGUGGUGUUCUACAAGUUUUUUGCAACACCAAUAGGAAUACCCAAUGAAGAAUGAGAAAACCAAUCAACAGAAAUAAGAAAUCAGGGGAAGAGAUGACGGAAUAAGAAAAUAAUAGAAGAGGGAGAAGAAUAAUGAAAGAAAGGGAAAAUUGCCACAAGCCACCAAAUAAUUUUAUUCAAUCAUCAACAAAAUGAAAUUAUAUGGCAAAUUAGGUUUAAAUAGUAAAAACAAAACCCUAACUAGAACGGGCUUGAUUUCCAACUACAUAAAUAAGAAACAAAAAUAAAGUCCAACUGGAAAUAAAUAAAAAUAGAUGUCCUCAUCACAUACCACAGAAGAAGUUCUUGAUGCUUAUAUUGAAGCGAUUGAACCCGUCCGAGCAGCAUUGACAUCUUGCUUGCGUUGCCAAGUAAUGGAUGACAUCAUGGAGGCUUGAAGAAACAUGAUUGGUUCAGAGGAUUUGAUAUGUCUGAUGAAUACCUAAGAGAUGUACACUGGAGCAGUGGAACAAGCAAGCUAUCGAAGUUGGGGCUGCAGUUUUUAUUGCAGGUUCUAAUAUUUUACAAAAUUUACUAGUCACUCAAUUUUAUGUUCGGCUUCAAUUUCUAUCUUUAACAUUUGUGGCUGCAUUCUUUCAGUAAUCAUGUGGUUGUUUGGGAUUCACUAUGGGGACAGAGAAAGAGGUGAUGCUGAAUCAUCAAUCCGAUCACCCUCAUUACCUUGCUGUGUCCCGAAGUUUUUGUAACCGGCAGCCCCUUCUGGCAUGAACUCAUCUCCUUGCGGCUAUCAAAGCUCUGCUGAUUAUCCCUUCCAUUAACUUGCCUAAGUGCAUUAAUGUUUUUGGUGUGGAAUGGCCAUUUUGACCCUGAAAUUUUAUGAUGCUAUUUUCAUAUUAUGGAUAAAAAGGUCAUUUCACGUUGAUAACUUCCUAAUACCAUUACAAUUUUCCUUGAACUCCCGAAAGCUAUUUUAUGUUAAAAAAUGACCUCUAUCAACUCACUUGAAUCUCUUCUCAAUGAAGGAAAAUUAGAAUUUUGUUAUUGCUCAAAGCAUUAGAUAAUUGGCCAUGGUGUGCUUUCCCCUAGUGGUUAACGGAUCCUGGCAAUUCAAAAAUAAGUGCUGGAGACUGAACAAUAACAAGCAUUAAUAUGACCAUGUAAUUUUCCUGGACAGUGCAUGGAGGCAUAGGUGAAGACAGCACACUCCAGUCAUUGUUGGAGGCUGAAGGAGUCCUUUAUACAGGUAAUACACUUCUAUUGGAGCUUGUCAGAGAAAAAUAUAUUACUUUAAAUCACAUUUAAGACAAGUAAUGGAUCAAAUACCAGUUGGUCCAUUUGUAAGUUACUUUUGUAAAUUGACAUAUGCUAUUGUGAAUUUAAGGCCAUCGCAUCAAGGCUUCCAAGACAUGAAUGGACAAAGUUGCUGAAAAUGAAUGUGCUUUGACAAUUUGUCAUAGCAUUUGUGUGUGACAUAUACACAAGGAAACUUUACAUACAAAGCUUAGGGCAAAUAAGGUAUGUGCGGAGAAGUUCGCAGAAUUAAUCCUUAGGUGUAAUCUUCGGUCAUGGGGCUGUGCUUCCUAUUUGAAGAGGCGACAAUCUUGGAGUCUUCAAUCAUGGAGUUGCUGACAUUAGGCUGCAUAAUAUCUGUUAAUUUAGAGGCGACAGUUGUGGAGUCUUCAAUCAUGGAAUUGCUGACAUUGGAGAGCAUAACAUCAGUUAGUUUAACCCCACCCCUCGGGCGGUGGCAAGCAAACAGGGAGAUCACAGAACUCCUAGCAUUAUUGUGAAAGAAACUGGAGAUAUCCUCGAGGAUAUAUUUCAAAGUAUGUAAAACAAAUUAAUAACUACAUAGUUGAAGUCAUAAUUUAUGAAUUACUGGUAAAUUCACCAUAUUUCAGCAAAUAAAUUAUAGCUAGGGCCUUACAAGAUGAUGCCUGCCUGCAUGAAAAUGUCUUGUUUAACAUGGUUAAUACUGGAAUCGCAGGUGCAACUGGCAUCAAUUAGACUCCAUCACCCCUCUCUAUAAUAAGGUUGUGCCCUUAACUUCUACGGGAAUAGUUAUCCUUCUAUUCUAUUCUUCCUUUGUAAUUCAUGUAAAAUUGCGAAGAAGUGCUGGAACUUAAGGUUCAAGAUCCUUGAUUUGGC
rnacentral:lncRNA from 1 species